AAGAAUUUGACGCGUACCAUGCGUACAAGCAUACAUAGGCGAACGGCAGUUGGAGUGGUUGGAAGUUACGAGUAGAGCACAAUACACGUCAGGUUCUUAUUUUGAUUCGUGGAGGGGGCUCACCUCGAGGAAACGGGUGGCCAAUUCGAAAGGAUUUGCCAGGAAAGUGCAGGAUACAGAUCUCCAAACACAGAUUAAACAUGAUACGCGCUGAAAAUGGAGAUGUUGUAUAUUUGGAACAGUUAAAAAAUCCGAUAGAGAGUGACGCGACAGAGAAGGCAGUGUCAAAAAAGUGCGAGGGGCAGCUGUCUUCAGUAAAGGCAAACAGCUGUUCGUCCUACAAAGGUGCAAAUCGUACGACAGAAAUGGCGCAAGAGGACAAUAAUCUGUGCUGGAAUAAUCUGCCCAGCAUUAUCCUACAGGAAAUAUACUCAUAUUUAUCUCACAACUGCCGGUUACGAGUAUCUCAGGUCUGCAAAAAUUGGAGAUAUGCUCUGUUUCAUCCUCAUUUUUGGAAAAAGAUCACAUUUGUUUUGAAAGAUGAAGAAAGUGCAUCAUGGUCUCGAUAUUUGGCAGACAAUUUUGAACUUAGUGUGCAAGAAGUUACAAUCAUCUGUGAUAUAUCAAAUUAUUGUGCAAAAGAAACAUUAGCCCUCUUGAGAAAACUAAAACAUAACAGACAACUUCGUAAAUUGUUUUUGAAACCUAGCAAUAGUACCUUUGAAUGUGAAGAUAGUACAAAAUGCACUAAAGAAUUGGUAUCUUCUCUUAUAAACAUUAUAAAAAGAUCUGAUCAUUUAGAAGCUUUGAGUUUGGGAUGCAUAGAAGAUUUAACAGGAAAUGCCAGACUAAUUCUGGUACAUUUACGUAACUGCCAAGCAAAGCAUUUAACAACUCUUAGUUUGGCAUCUGUUAAGGAUGAUCCUGAUGAUUACAAUGCUUUGAAUUCUGGUUAUGGACAUAUGUUCAAUUCAUUUGCUAGAUUAUCUAUUUUAACAUUGGAUUAUGAGUUCCUAAGUGAUUCUUUACUAAAAGCAUUGAAUAGUGGUACAAUGGAAAGACUUGUAAUUCAUGUGCAUGGUUGGCAUUAUCAGUAUACAGGACCAACUGAUAGUAGUUGGCAAGUUUUUGUUCAAAAAAAUCCAAAAUGCGAGUUACGAUUAAAUCUUAUACACUCUUAUGUUGGAAUUGAGAAAUUAGAUACAAAUAUACUUCGUCCUUCCAUGCCUCUUACACAUUUGAAAGUAUUAUUUUGUGAAACUGUUAAUAUCAGAGCAUUGCAUCGGCUAUCCAGAUGGUAUUCACGUACUUUAAAAUCUUUAAUAUUAAUUGAUUCAGUGCAACCUACAACAAGAAAUAUGCCAGCAACAUAUGAUCCAAGUUAUCCUCAUAGCCCUGAUCCAUUAGUAUUAGUUGCAUGGAAAUGUACUAAGCUUGUGGAAAUUGUAUUAUUAGGCCACAAAUAUCAUCAGGAAAACUUAUUAGCCAUUGCACGUCUUCGGGGACAUUCGCUUAAGUCAUUAGUAUUUGCACAAAGGUUCAUUACAUCUGGCAUUGAAUCUUGGUACAAGGCUGAAACUAUCACACAUGAAAUAAAAGAAAUAAUGGGAAGCCAAUGGGAACCAUUAAGUGAUGCAGAUUUACCUACAGUUGUUAAAAAUCCUCUUGAUGGUGAUAGCAGGGAAGUUAUCAUGCCAUUGGUCCUCCGCGACCAAAAGUAAAUUCUAAUUUAUACCAAGAAAAGAUUACUCCCCGAUAUCGUACGCUACCGAUCAACAUCAUCAACAAUUUCUGGGCGAGCUACAUUCUCAGAAGUAAAGUUAUAAAGUUAUAUCCUUUAUUUUUCUAUAAGAAUUGUUUUUACGAGAACUACGGAUGUAACAUCAAAUGGUGGACAUGUAUAAAUUCGUAGUUUAAAGUCAGUAAUUGAUGGAUGCAAUAUUACCUGUCAGAUUGAAACAGUUUUCGUUGGUUUUUCCCAUGGAAAACUCCUCGUGAGGCAGUUAGAUUUUAUGGUUUUAAUAGUGGUGGUUUCGUAACGAUCAAAAUAAGAAAAAUGUAACAAUUAAUGAUCGUUCCUCUCAUCAAUGAAUAUAUUAAUGAAAAAAAAUAUUAUAUACGUAUAACAAUAUUCUUAAUAGAUAUUAAGAAUAAAACAUUACAAGACGAUACGAAGAAGAAGGCCUCACCAAAAUGGACCUUUGAUGUGUCAUAUACUUGUUCAUAUUAUGGGAAAACGAUUAAAAAAAUACUAUCAAUGAGAGCUGAUCAUCGUAUCAAACAAGAAAUGAAAGAGAGGCUAAAUAAGAAAAAGGAUUGAUCUCACGAUGUUCCACAGGAAAGCAUAACGAAAUUCCAAAUAUAUGUAAGUAGAAACAUGUUAACAAAUAUUUUUCCAAUUUUAUGGGAAAUAUAUAUCAAAGCGAGCGCCAAGAACAUGCAGUGUAAGAAAGAAUAAGUAAAUGAAAAAAUAAAUAUAAACUUCGUGGAAGAUUGUUUGCAAUCGAGUUGCACAGAUAAUACAAAGAUGCACUCACAAAUAAGAUGAAUAGCGAUCCGAGGUUAUUUUUAGUACCAAAACCAAUCGGACGCUUUUGUACAAAUAUUAAAUGAAUAUAUGUCGAAAAGAGUGUGGUUAAUUUGAUGGUAUCAGUUAAAUACACAUCAUAUAUAGCGUUCAUAUAUCGCGUUAAAAAAAGGGAAAAAAGGGAGAUAUUGAUGAUGUUAAUAAAAAGAACUAUGUGACCUUCAAGUACCGUCUUUUUACCGUACUCUUAGCGACCGUUAAAAAACGAACACAAUUAUAGUUUAUCUAUAAAAACAAAUCAGAGGAAUUAGUUGCUAAUCGUGUAUGUGUAUAUGUAUGUAUAUCUGUAUUAUCUAUCGAAUUUUAAACGUUAAUAUUCAGAUGCCGCAUGCAUCUAUUUCUAUCGUGCGAUUAAUAAUAACGAUUUCGAAAGUGAAAAGUACGAAAAUUAAAGAAAAUCCACAACACAAAGAAAAAUACCAAAACAGCACUCGUAUACAGUUUAUUAUUCUGAGAGGUUAUUUACUUUUUUCGAGUCCUUGUAUAAUUAUUACAUCGUCGUCUAUUGUACUUGUAGUCAUGUGUACCAUUGUUUUUUAUAUAUGAUUCUGUACAUAUGCGUUUAAAAUAUUAGACACGCGCAAAUAGCUAUUACGGAGUUGCGCCCGAAUUUAAAACAAUAAAAAAAGAAAAGAAAAGAAAAAAAGA
rnacentral:misc_RNA from 1 species